rnacentral:tRNA from 1 species
AUCAUGAUAUCGACUAAGAGGAAAGUCGCACAUAAAUAUGGGUUCGAAUCCCAUUCAUGAUU